rnacentral:lncRNA from 1 species
GCCUCUUAGGAGCCACAGCAUCGCAUCUGCAGGAUCCGGCCACGGCUCGCUGGAGGAUAAAGCAGUGACGGCUCCGGGACCCCAGGAAGCAGACACCACAUGCCCUGUCUGCUGCGAUCUCUGCUUUCUCAGAUCUGCCGCUCACACUUUUCUGGCCUCUUCCUCUGGCCACCACAGCCAGCAUGCCUCUCCACAACAGCAAAUGCCUCCUGCCCUCCAUGCUCUGUGCUCCAGCCAUCCUGUGGCCAAAACCUUGCAGAGCCAGAGCCCGAGCGGCCUGAGCCAGGGCUGAGGAUGCCCCUGUGAGCAAAGCGGUGCCCUCACUGUCACCUUCGGGAUGUGACGUGGCUCCCUAGGGCUUCCCGGACGCCUGCAUCAGCAGCACAUGGGUGUCGUCUGCUCACGGGGAAGAACGUGAACACCUGGCUGUGCCUGACUCCCAUCAGCCACAACGUUUGGUCUUCGGGAGGCUGCAAACCCAUGUGCCAGGUGACAGUCAAUCUCCUGAGGUGGACAGCCAUGAGGGACAGGUGCCACCUGGGCCUGCCCAGACCCGGGGUCUCAGUCAGAGAGAGGAGAACGGAGGGUCUGUCUGCUGGAGCCGGAUACCGCCGUAAUAUCAGGUGCCUUGAGAGGCAGGCACAAAGCCUAGCUUCCGACCCGGGCAUGUGAGUGUGUGCUUUCAGGACGAGCGCAGCCCACACAACAGACCCUUUCUUUGCAAAGGAGACACAAAAUGAAGUGAAACAAUUCGAUGGCUGCUAAGAGGGUUUCUCAUCCUGGAUGCCACCUGAGUGUGUUCCACCUGGCCCACGACAGGCGCACCCUUCGUGGGGGAAACGGAACAGGGGCGCCAGUGCCUUCCCAGCUUUAGAUUCUUGCAUAGUUCAUCGCAGUACUGACUCAAGCUUAACGCUUUCAUUUGGGGCUUGCGGCUUUCAUCAUUACUCACCCCUAAUGGCUCAGCAGUCUCUCUCAGCUGAGCUCCUGAUGUGCCUCAUUUACCCUUGAGCCUCGAGCCAGAGGGAGCUGUCUGUCUGUAAGGGCUUGUGUGAUUCAAUUAGGCCACCCUGCUCUUAUCCCUUAAAAGCGCACUGAUGAGUAACUUUAAUUACAUCUGCAGAAUCCCUCUGCUCUAUAAAAUGACACACGGACUGGAGUAGAACCAGGGCAGCUGCCGUGGGAGGUAAACUUCUGCCUGUCACCAGCUGUCACUGGGGCAGCUCUGCACUGGCUGCCCAGCCUUCAGGCUCUUCUCUUGUGUCCCAGGUCUCAGACCCGAGGAUACACCUGCUCUCAGCACAAUCAUGACAAAUGGAACAAACAAGGAAAGAUUCUGAGCAGUGUCGGAUUUAUGGGUUUGGCCAGCAGCCUUUCUGCAGGGCCACGUGGCCGGGUAAGCAGCUUGUCCAGCAGCACCCCAAGAGAGCGCGGUCCCCUCCGAACACCAAAAAGACUCACGGUGCCACUCAUCUGCCAGACUGAGUGGUUCGUGCCUGAAACGCUCAGCAGGACAAGAUAAUUUCUGGAUCAUACAUGUGUCCAGUUUUGCUUGUCUGUACAGAUGGACUUUCCAUCUUACCUGUCCUGGACCUUGGUCCUGUUCAGCUUGUACAGACCGACCUCAAGUCGAAUCGGAGGUGCCAGUCUGCAAAGGUCCUUUAGGAUCAUUUACACCCAAACCAUGUGCGGGUGACCAGGCCAACGGGCAUCUUCCUACUCAAGUGAGAGUCCUUCUCUAGAGGCGGGGGCAGCAGGAAGGAAAAUUCACGGGUCAAAUUCAGUGCAUUAUACCAAUAUGUACUGCCGAAUGGCUCCUCAAAAAAUAGCACUAUUUUAUCCUCAAAUUAGCAUAUUUGUGGAUUUAUCGCCCCGUGGUCCGACCACCCCGGAUAUUCUGACACAUUCAUACAAUGUUCUUCUCAAUGGUUGCCCAUCAGACAGGUAACAAGAACCUCACGUCGCCUUAGUUUCCUUUUCCAGAGUGGUAAUUAUUUCCCCACUGUCCCGUUGGGCAAACAGAAACCAGUUCAGUUAGUCUGAGACCAGUGCCUGUCGGGAUUGGAGAGAGGCGGCUGGAGGCCUGGGAACACACCGCGUCGCCCGAGACGAGAGAGGCCACGUGCAGGGAGCUGGCGCCGUCUGCCAGGCUGCAUGUGCCAAGGACAAGACUCGGGGCCUGCAGAGCCCACGCCCUUGGGAAAGGGCCAUCAGCUGGCCAUGCGGAUACCUCCGGGGCUGGGCAGGCAGAGGGCUACUCAGAGCUGGGACUCCGACCUUGCAGAAAGUCCUGCCCGGAGGACAGGUGGAACCGCAAGGUUCUAGAGGAAGACGUAGGGGUGCCUCUUCUUGACGUUAUAGCAUUUAUGAACUUGGCGUCAGAAAAGCUUUCUCGAAUGGAACUCCAAAGAAGCAAUAACCGUCAAGUCAAAGAUUGUUCAAUUGGACUUGGUUAAGAUUAAAGUAAAAAACAACAGCCACAGAUUGGAAGCAUGUAUUUGCGAUACAUUUAUCCCGUAAAUGAUUCAUGCCCAGAACAUCUAAAGAACUGUUGCAAAUGAAUUUUUUAAAAAAGAGCCCCAUUAAAACAAUCAAAAGUAGGAACAGGCCCUUCAAAAAAGAAGCUAUUCAAACGUCUAAGCAGGCUUGGAAAGCCAAUUAUACACCAUUACUGUUGAGGAAAUGCAAAUUAAAAUGAGUAUGUCAUACAUAGCACACACAUCAGAAUGGCUAAAAUUAAAAAGACUAAAUACAAAUUUUAAGACUGGCAAGACAAGCGUUGCUGAUGGGAGUGUACACUGGUAAAACAACAACUUGGGGAAACUGCUUGGCGAUAUCUAGACAGCUGAACACACAGGCACAGCCCUGGUGACACAGCCUGAGGGGGACUAUUGCUUAUGGUCACGGAAAGACAUGCAAGGAGGCAAAAGCUAGAAAAAUCAGACAAUUAGAAAUUUUACAUCCCAAGGCAAACAGAUCCAUAUAUUUUGGUACACUCAAACCAUAGCACUAUAGCACAUGGCAGUGGUGAAAUGGACCAUUGUUACAUGAAAUAAUAUGAAUUUCACACAUAAUUUUGAGUGGAAAAACUGGGUAUUAAAAAGUACGUAAUGUGGAGUUCCCACUGUGGCUCAGUGGGUUACGAACCCGACUAGCAUCCGUGAGGUCUCGGUUUCAAUCCCUGGCCUUGCUCAGUGGGUGAAGGACCCUGCAUUGCCGUGAGCUGUGGUGCAGUGGGUUAAGGAUCCGGAGCUGUGUCACAGCCUAUGGCAGAGGUUGCAACUCCGGCCUCGGAUUCGAUCCCUGGCCGGGGAACUCCAUGUGUCCUGGGGCAGCCAAAAAAGAAAAAAAAAAAAAAAAAGUCUACAAACAAUAAAUACUGCAGAGGGCGUGGAGAAAAGGGAACUCUCCUACACUGCUGAUGGGAACGUAAAUUGGUGCAGCCACUAGGGGGCACAGUAUGGAGGCUCCUCAAAAAGCUAAACAUAGAACCACGGGAUGAUCCUGCAAUCCCACUCCUGGGCAGAUAUCGGGAGGAAACCAUAAUUUGAAAAGAUACACACACCCCAAUGUUCACAGCAGCACUGUUUACAAGAGCCAAGACAUGGAAGCCACCCAAGUGUCCAUCCACAGAUGAAAGGGUGAAGAAGUUGUGUAUAUACACAAAGGAAUAUGACUCACCCAUAAAGAGAAUGAAAUAACACCACUUGCAGCAACAUGGACAGACUAGAUAUUAUUAUUAUAUACCAAGUGAAGUCAGAGAAAGACAAGUAUCAUAUGAAAUCGCGUGUGAAGACUAAUUUCUUAGCUGAAACAAAUGAAAAUAAAUAAAUAAACAGCAAAGAAUAAGUUUAAAGUUGAUAAUCUCAGUAAGAUAUUCAUUCUGGAUGGUUGUUUCUUCAAUCCAAUAUAACCUCGUUGGACCCUCCAUAAUAUUAAUUUUGGGUGGAUUUCUGUUGAUUUUCCACCCUUCUUUGAAGAAGAGCUGUGUCCUCUGGUAUCUAAUGAGGUACCGGAUCUGAGCGAGCUCAGCAAGUCUGAGUGCUGUGCAAACCGAAGACGCGGCAGGUGCAUUAGGGGUGGACCUGCGCGGGUCGCAGUGUUGAGUUGAUCAACCAAAUGCCUAAGAACCAAAGACGCAGGAAAGCCUCGCCUUUUCUGUCCACAGGCCAAGCAACAGUCUAGGGACUGAUGAUCUACUGCCCUCUGCUGGUUCUGGUUGGAAUCCCUCCUCAAGAUCGAGUCCAGGAAAAAGGCCUCAGAAUAGGGUUUUUAGGGGUGUUUCCCCUUAAACACAAAACAAGCAAAAAAUAAAAUAAAAACAUGACGGUCCUGAUGUGUCGCCUUGAGCGAAUAUCCAGGAAGCAGGAAGCAUUCUGAUCCCACAUAAAAUUCCGGGUCGACGCUGCUUUGCCCUUCAUGUCAUCGCAAGUCACCCAAACAGGAGCAUGCCAGCCUGAGCCCAGGCGCCCGACCCCCAGUGGGCUCAUGACGGCUCCUCUCCCGGGAGUGGGGUCCAGCAGCGGCCCCGUCUGCAGAGGCCCAGUCGAGCAACUGUUCAAAGGCAGGAAAACUGCUGCCUCUCACCCUCUGUCCCGCUGGCUUGCGUUUCUCUCUGUAGCUGUAGCUGCGUGUCCCCGGCUCCACGUGCAAUGCACGUUUGCACAUCCACGGCCUGUUUUACGGUCUGUCGUGUGUCGGCCUCCCUUGUUGGUCUGUCUCCACUCUCCUGCCUGCUUUUCUCUGCGUUGUUCCUCUGUCUUUCUACAUGUGUCUUCGUUCAUGUGUCUAUUAAAGGGUCCAUCUUUCUGACCUGAUCUUUGUCCGUCUAUCAGGCUCUGUGUCUUCUGGUCUUUCUGUCAUUUUAUCUGUCUCGGUCUAUCUACAUAACUUCUCUUCUCUCGGGAUGUCUGUCUGUGUGUAUCAACACACACAGACAUCAUCUGUCAGUCUUUUUGUCUGUCUUUUAUCUGCAGGCUGUAUUUGUCUUUCCAGCUGUCUGUUUAUAUGUCACUUGGCUUAACAUUUGCGAGGAAAUGUGUGAUGUGUUGACUGAUGGCGUGAGUGCGUGCACCAGGGCAUGUGUGCAGUGCUGUGUUCAGGGGAGUGAGUGUGUGAGAUGCUGCGUGUAAGCACCUCACCCGGGGCGGGGGUGCCCUGUAUGACGGCACCUUAAAGACAC